AAGAACUAACAAGGAUUCCCCUAGUAACUGCGAGUGAAGCGGGAAGAGCUCAAAUUUGUAAUCUGGCCGUCUUUAGGCGGUCCGAGUUGUAAUCUAUAGAAGCGUCGACCGCGCCGGCCCUUGCCCAAGUCUGUUGGAAUUCAGCGUCGUUGAGGGUGAGAACCCCGUCAUUGGUGAGGACAACCGGGGCUUUGCGUCGCGCUCUCUACGAGUCGUGUUGUUUGGGAAUGCAGCACUAACGGGUGGUAAAUUCCAUCUAAAGCUAAAUAUUUGCGAGAGACCGAUAGCGAACAAGUACCGUGAGGGAAAGAUGAAAAGCACUUUGGAAAGAGAGUUAAAUAGCACGUGAAAUUGUUGAAAGGGAAACGCUUGAAGUCAGUCAUGCCUUUGGGGAGCUUCAGCCUUUUAUGGGUGUAUUCUCUCUUUGGGCAGGUCAACGUCGGUUUUGAAGGCUGGAUAAGGGCCCGGGGAAUGUAGCUUUGCUGCGGCGAAGCGUUAUAGACCCCCGCCGGAUACGGCUUUUGGGACCGAGGGAUGCAGCGUGCCUUCUUUUUCUUUUUGGAGGGGGGGGGCCGGUGGGGUGAUUCCUGCCGUCCGCGCUUAGGAUGUUGGCUUUAAUGGCUUUAAACGACCCGUCUUGAAACACGGACCAAGGAGUCUAACAUGCUUGCGAGUAUUUGGGCGUUAAACCCUUAUGCGCAAUGAAAGUGAAUGCAAGGUGGGAUCCGAAAGGUGCACCAUCGACCGAUCUUGAAGCUUUAACGGCGAAGGAUUUGAGUAGGAGCAAGCAUGUUGGGACCCGAAAGAUGGUGAACUAUGCCUGAAUAGGGCGAAGCCAGAGGAAACUCUGGUGGAGGCUCGUAGCGUUUCUGACGUGCAAAUCGAUCGUCGAAUUUGGNAUAGGGGCGAAAGACUAAUCGACCAUCUAGUAGCUGGUUCUGCCAGUU
rnacentral:rRNA from 1 species